rnacentral:tRNA from 1 species
GGUCACAUAAGCCUAAUUGGUAAGGCAGCGGUUUGCUAAACCGUGAGUAAUCGGGUUAUUCUGAUGUCCGAGUUCAAAUCUCGGUGUGGCCG